GGGGCAUAGCUCAGUUGGUAGAGCGCCUGCUUUGCAAGCAGGAUGUCAGGAGUUCGAGUCUCCUUGCCUCC
rnacentral:tRNA from 1 species